CUCUUCACGCUUACCACACACACACAAACACACACAUGCACCAGGAGGCCUUAUUAAUUAUUUGUAGCCACUUGACUUCAUAUUGUGCUUCCAGUGGCUUGGUCAAAGAUUAUAAUUACCACUUCCCUGUUUGUAUCAUUUUCCAUCUCCUGUGCUUUUAGUGCAGUAUUACUUCUCUUGUCCCUCUCCCUCACUCUCUUCCUCCCUCUCUCCCGUAUACACAAGACCAAAAGUGCAGGCACAUCAUUUAUUGAUAAGACAAAAAGAAUGUAAUGAAAUUAUCAAUGUUCUUGAAUUAAUUAUGAACAUGAUUAAGAAAGCUAAAAUCUCAGGAGCCAGUCUCUCAUUACCCAUUCACUCUUAGGGAUUGCUUUCAUUCAGGGAAGGAGAGGCGAAAAAGCCUUCCAGCAGAGCCCACUCCGGCUCAGCUCUUCUCCCUGUGUGCCUGUCCCCUUGUCUCUGCUGCCGGGCCAAUUGACCAAGCCUCCGACAGACCGGACGGCCGGCCGCCAGCCCGACCGCCACCUGGACGGCUUUCUUGCACUCAUGCCUGUUAUGGUGAUGUGGCCAAGCCCAGCUAGCUGCUUCGCGGCCUCUGACGUUUGCAUGGAAAAGAGAGGAUGUGCUCAACCUUCCUGUUCUACACCUGAGUUCAAGCUCUGAGGUCUUGACCCUCUUAAAAAAGAAACACUCGAGGGUUCAGAUAGCCAACAGACUGGAUUUAGUCAAGACCUGAGUCAGUCAGGGCGGGAAUCUCUCUCUCUUCACUUAAGAUAAACAGACAGGAUGACGCAAUCUUCCGUGAUCCAGGAACCAACCUCAACCUACGAAAACAGACUCACAAAAGGCCUCGGCUUCAAGAAUGGACAAAGCCAGGAUACGACACGCAAAGUUUGGCUUCAGAUGAGCCCUGGCAGCUGCUACGAACACAGCCAAGAACAUGGUAACCUAUUCACCCACAUACCUAAGAUUCUGAUCUGAAAACACAAUAUUGAAGCUUUUAUUUAAUAAAAGAAUGGAUCCUUUAGACAGCGUGAGUAAAGAUAAUGCACAGAUAAGUAUCAGACUCAAAUAUCACCACCAAAGAAUGAUCAGAAAACAUUUAGCGCAUGACUUGAAAUAAUACAACAUCACCAACAGAAACCAAACAACUUAAGGUUGGAUAAAUGACACACUUACAUGAACGCUCUGACUGGGAUGUAAAAGAAUAAUUUUGUCGCCGCUAGAAAACAUAUGAAGAAAUGCCAGUUUUGAAAAAUGUCAUCUUUAAAGGGGAAAUCUAAAUGUCAGAGAGACAGAUACUUUACACAUAGAGAGCGCUGCCUUCUGGGCGUAACACAGAAAGGCGUGAGAAUAAUAUUUUUUUCCCAGUUGAAAUGAAUUGCAAUUACCCGUCAUCAAGCAUAGAAAGCAGCACACUUCACAUCCACAGUCACAUAGCCUGGAGAGGAGCGUGGUCACUGUUUGCAACAUUAGUCAGGAAAUCAGAGGAGGAAAGCACAACAAAAGAAAGAAAUGUGUUUUUGUUAUGCCACAGGAAAAAAUAGUGACUCACUGUUCCAAUGUGUGAUAUGUUACUAAGAAAUAUAAUGAAUUAAUAUCAGAAACAGACAGAAAAUUAACCUGCCUCCAUUUUGAACAAAAAAUUCAUGGUUCCAGCUUUUCAAAUUAAAGCAUUUAAUGCAUUUUCUUAUGUUACAUCAUAGUAAACAUUUUUGGACUGUUGGCAUUAAAAAACCUUGUUGCAGCAAUGUUCAGAUAUUACAUAGAAUAUUAAAAGAUUAAUGCGACUUCACUCAGUGCAGCGAACUGUCAGCAAUCAUGGCCUUUCUUAUGCAUUUGCAGAAAGAAAAACAUCUAAAAUGUCGUCAUUUUCUUUGCAAGUGUUGCCAUUUUAUGUCAUUGCAACACUGCUUUACUACUCUGUCACGCAUUUCCAUGUAAGGGUGCCAACAGGAGAAGUCAUAGUAGUUGAAAAAUGCAUAAAUGAACACCUACAUCUGCUUACAACUGCAUUAUGGUGUUUAUAAACUGUUUAUUAACUACUGCGUGUGAAAGGGAGUGUGUGUGCUAAAGGUAAGUGUUAAUAUAAAACACAUUACCCUCAAACCUGGAACCCAGUUUCCCUAACUCAUUCAUCAGAGCUCACUGUGCCGCUGUUUUACAGUAUGUCAUUUUCUUGACUUAACUUGUGCGUAAAAGCUAUUGCGUGUGAGUGUGUGUGAUUGCAUGCGUGUACUCUGUUUAUCUGUGUGUGGAUGAGCAUUUGGCUCAGCGAUUGGCAUGGGGUCAUAGCUCUUACCCAGAAGACAGCAGAGAUAAAGCAAGUGGAGCAGCAAGCCCUGUUUGGGUUUAAAUUUUGCAAGCAGGCGAAUGUCAAUCUCAUGAAUAAGCAAAGCAGGGAAUAAAGCAUUUCUUGGUCCUCAGUUUGUUUUGAAGUUUGUCCGCGUGGAAAACGUCUGUGCUUCUCAGCUGGGAAUUUCAGCAGAGGCCUGAGUGGGUGAUUCAAUACUCGUUUCAAUCAUCGGUGCAGGUAAGUUACGGAAUAGGAGGCAAAAACAAAAGAGGAGACGAGGAGGAAUGAGCAAACUGAGGUGCAAGUACAGAUGAAGGCAGAGGAGGAGUAGAGGUUAAGAUGGAGAUUGGGGAGAUGAAGUCAGGGAAAAGGAGGUAGGAGAGACAAGUCUGCUCUCUGUUCUUGCUUUCCCGGGUCGUGUGUUUUUAUAUUAAUGGCUGAGGUCGUGUGUCAGGUCAGGGAGAGCUAAUCUUAACUCCCUGGCUGGAGGGCACCUUCAACCCACGGGGCAUUUAGGUACCUCGUCAACCCAACAGAGAACCACCGGGCUCUUCUCUUAGCAUGCAAAUGAGACAGGAACAAAUGUCCCAUCACUUCUGGGGCUUCAUGUCCCAAAGUGCUUAACACUCUUCCUGUCAACCCCCCCGCUCACUCCAGCUGCUUCAAAAACCCCUCGUGCACCUCCCUCACUCCUUUUUCCCCUCCCUCUUAUGUUCUUUAAAUGAGCUUUCCAACUCCACUUCUUUCUCGCAAUUCAAUUUUACAAGGCCAUUAUCCUGGGUGUAAUGUGGAGGUUAAAUAUAUCGGGGCAGACAUUAUGUGAAAAUAAUUAGUGCUAAUGAAUAAUGCACUCAUUCAGCUGAUGAAGGAUGGUUGUCAGGGUAAUGGAGUGCAAGGGAGGGGCCCCUCUGACAAAUGAAAUUAAAAUAUUUAAACACUGUUUUACGAUAUUACCAGGCCCUCACGCUCUUUUCCUGUUACCUGCUCGCUAUACGGAGCGGGCUGUCCUCUUCCCUGACAUGAUACUUGUGCCAUUACUCAUGCGCAACAUCUGUCUCGCCAAAGACAGAACUCAGACACGAGGAGGAAGCGUCCCUGCCCAGCACUUUUACAGUACCUCACACCUCAGCUAAUCAUCCCAGCCCUGAUAAUCACUCCGACGCCAAUCUUAUUGACAGCUGCUGUCCCUCUGCCGGAAUAUAGUUGGUUCCCUUUAUUUAUUGCCCCCUACACUCAUUCAGCCUCUUACGAUCUCAUUCUGCGCCCAUCAUGUGACAAUGAAGGAUGCGGGUUUUAAAUCGCUCAGUUUACAGCACCCUCCCAGCCAAUUGGCCUUCUCCAAUCAAUAAUAGUGGACCAAGCUCUCUGUGGCUGAUAAAUGGUAAAGCAUCAACACCAUUUCAUUAGACAUGAUGGUUGCAGGAAAGUGCCUUUGACGGGAGACAGAAAUCGCAUGAACUAAUGAUACAUGUUGCUCAGUGCUUCAAAAGUCUGACCCUUCGGAUGGAUCAGUUCACCCAAUUUAGUUAAAAGCUUCUCCUCCCUUUGACAUUGGCUAUUGUAGUGCUGUGGUUUGUAAAAUAGCAGAAGUGAAUGGAAUUUCAUUUAUGCUGCUCACAACACACACAAAAAAAAUGUUUUUAAACAGGAGUACAACCCUCUUGUAGCUCUGUGAGGCUGCACUUACACUGAUAAUACUAAGAUGCUAAACAGCUAUUGCCUGCUACACAACUGCCAAUAAUCGCUAAACUCAAAGCAAAUAUUAGGUUUUAAACCAAAUUAACACAAGAAUUGAAACCAAAGCUAAAUAUAUUAGAGCUCAUCCUCAGGGGAACAUGAAGGUUUAGUUGAGAAAUUUUAUACAAAUCCAUAAAAAGCAACAUUAUUGGUGGUGAGAAAGAGAAAGUAGGAGGAGAGUUCAUCAAAGCCAACAUGGCCAUAAAGUAAUAGUAUAAAAAAAAUUGCUAAGAUGCUGGUGCUAAACAAGUAUUAUGCUUACCAUCUUAAUUUGACACCUUUGUAUCCUAAACAAUUGCUAUAAAGCUCUAGACACAUAGUAUACAUUAGCGUUUUAAACCAAAAUAACACAAGAAUUGAAUUUUUGACAUCAAGAUGGGAGUAAAUUACAUUUUUCAAAGUACUAACCAAAGGUAUUAGGGCUCAACCUCAGGAGAACAGGAAUGUUUACAGAGCGAUCCAACAUAUAAUUGUGGAGAGAUUUUACACAAAUCCAUAAAUGGCAACUUCAUGGUGGAAUAAAACUGAAAGUCAGAGGAGGAUUUAUCCUCUGGGCACCAUGAAUGUAUAAACAGUCUGUCCAGCAGCUGUUGAGACAUUUCAAUGUGGACCACAAAACAGUGGACAGCAAAGUCUAGGGCAUAUCUGUGAAAUUGUCCUGGAAAGAGCUUAAUUUUUUCAAAUAUAUUGUUUUAACGGUCUGAGUACCACAUAAAAAAGAGAAGGAAGAAACCUAGAUAACUCCUUGCCAAUUACAACCCAAAUUGUUGCAUAUCUAGAUGUCACUUAAGGCAACAAGUUUAUUUAUUUACUUUUUUUACAAUUUUGGCAAAAAGGGAAGGCACAGGGCCCAGAGUAGCAGAUGUUUCACUACGACAUAUCCAAAGGGAGAUAUUAACAGUGUUUCCCUACAAAAUGUCAGACUGGAUCUCAGAUCGUUACAAAUCAUGGAGGUCUUUAAGUCGGAGUUAUGUUCAGUUUUCACAGGACAAUGGGCAGCUUUUAUUAAAAAAAACAAAGGCUAUAAGCACUGAAGUGUGCUGCUCCUUCCCUGGGGCUUAGCACAGACAACUAGCACGCCGAACCCGGCCACAUCUGACAACUUUCUUUUAUUAAGCUCAUAUUUUGCAGAUUGCCAACACAUACAUUUGACUUGCAAAACAGACCUAAUUAUGGGACCCGUAGUAUGGAAGCCACACAUCAAACAGUAAGUUACAGUAAAAGCCUAUGAUCCCAGUUGCAUUCUCUCCUGUUUUUUUUCCUGUCCUCUGUUGCCUCAGCACACCAGAAACACUGAUUAUAACAGGGACAUUAAAAGGGAAUUACAGCGAAACAAUUUACACUUAAUGUAGCAGUCAUAUGAACAGGGAAGAACGAUGGACAAAGAUAUGGCUGUAUUAAUAAUACAUGCUUUAAUUAAGCAGCUGGGAAUGCAUAGGGCCAGAUCAAGGCACGGGGGGAAAGACAGACAAUGAAAGAAGAGUGGCAGAGAGUAGGGGGAAAGACAGCUGAAGAAAAAGAACUGAAAAGGAGAGGCUGAAUGACAUGGAAAGUGUAAAACAGAGCAGAGGAUAGAAAGCAGAGGAGGGAGGAGGGCUGGAACAUGCUGCUGUGAGUUUUCUGCACACCGUGAUUCAUGGGCAGUAAAUAUGCAAAGCCUGAUGGCCAUAAGGCAAUCAGAGGAGCGCCACUCAUCUACAUGUUGCACAGUGGGCUAUAAUCCAUCUGAGGGGCAAGGAAUAAUGAUACCAGGAAGCAGGAAUAAGAGCACGGUCUGUUUAUUACCUCAGACAGAUCCAUAAUGCAUACAGAUGUGAGGGAGGCACGCCGCAGCCUCUGGCCAGUGAACUCUAUUGAAAAGUAUAGACGGUAAUAUUGUUUUUAGUGUAAUGAAAGACAAUCUGAUUUAAGCACCUAUUAAGGCAAAUCAGUCUGCUGUCAUAUAAAGUUUUAAAACAAGCGCUCGAGCUAUAGUGAUCGCUGACAGGCUGGAGAGGAGCUGAGACGAAUACAGAGGGAAAAAGUAAGAGGCAGUCUGGCAGCUCAAAGGCAACGGCAAGGUCACCAAUAAAUAAUAUGGAUAUUACAAUAUGAAUGUACAGCCAUGCAAAGUGAAAUAGAAGGUUACAGUCUGCUCCAAAUAUGCACAUUUUAAGACCUUGCUCAUCAUUAAGACCAUGCCUGUACAGAUAAAAAGCAACCACUGGCAAUAAAACUGAAAUUUCA